rnacentral:rRNA from 1 species
GACGAACGCUGGCGGCGUGCCUAAUACAUGCAAGUCGAGCGGAACUGGGGGAGCUUGCUCCUUCCAGUUUAGCGGCAGACGGGUGAGUAACACGUGGGCAACCUGCCCUGCAGAUCGGGAUAACUCCGGGAAACCGGUGCUAAUACCGAAUAGUUUGGCGCCUCUCCUGAGGCGCUACGGAAAGACGGUUUCGGCUGUCACUGCAGGACGGGCCCGCGGCGCAUUAGCUAGUUGGUGGGGUAACGGCCCACCAAGGCGACGAUGCGUAGCCGACCUGGGAGGGUGACCGGCCACACUGGGACUGAGACACGGCCCAGACUCCUACGGGAGGCAGCAGUAGGGAAUCUUCCGCAAUGGACGCAAGUCUGACGGAGCAACGCCGCGUGAGUGACGAAGGUUUUCGGAUCGUAAAACUCUGUUGUGAGGGAAGAACACGUACCAACUAACUAUUGGUACCUUGACGGUACCUCACCAGAAAGCCACGGCUAACUACGUGCCAGCCGCCGCGGUAA